GUCUACGGCCAUACCACCCUGAACGUGCCCGAUCUUGUCUGAUCUCGGAAGCUAAGCAGGGUCGGGCCUGGUUAGUACUUGGAUGGGAGACAAAAGUAUGCUAUGUAAUUGGCUGUUGGCU
ensembl:rRNA 5S_rRNA 5S ribosomal RNA